rnacentral:rRNA from 1 species
GAUGAACGCUGGCGGCGUGCCUAACACAUGCGAGUCGAACGAACAGACCUCUUUCUGGGUGUACUGGUGUGACCGACGGACGGGUGACUAAUGCGUGGCUUACCCUCCUCUUUGACUUGACUAACUUCGGGUAACCCUAGCUACUGCUGGAUACUAUUUCGAACUGCAUGGUUCUAAAGUGUUUCAGCGUUUUGCUGUCACUUAUAGAUGGAUCCGCUUUUCAUUAGCUUGUUGGUAAGGUAACGGCUUACCAAGGCACCGAUGCAUAGCCGACCUGAGAGGGUGAUCGGCCACAGUGGAACUGAGAGGCGGUACAGAGUCCUACGGGAGGCAGAAGUAGGGAAUGUUGCGCAAUGGGCGGAAGCCUGAAGGAGCAACGCCGCGUGGGUGCUGAAGGUCUUCGGGUCGUAAAACUCUGUUCUUAGGGAAGAACAUAUGUGUACGUAACUGUGCACAUCUUGACGGUACCUAAUCAGAAAGCAACGGCUAACUACGUG